rnacentral:rRNA from 1 species
UUAAGCGACUAAGCGUACACGGUGGAUGCCCUGGCAGUCAGAGGCGAUGAAGGACGUGCUAAUCUGCGAUAAGCGUCGGUAAGGUGAUAUGAACCGUUAUAACCGGCGAUUUCCGAAUGGGGAAACCCAGUGUGAUUCGUCACACUAUCAUUAACUGAAUCCAUAGGUUAAUGAGGCGAACCGGGGGAACUGAAACAUCUAAGUACCCCGAGGAAAAGAAAUCAACCGAGAUUCCCCCAGUAGCGGCGAGCGAACGGGGAGCAGCCCAGAGCCUGAAUCAGUGUGUGUGUUAGUGGAAGCGUCUGGAAAGGCGCGCGAUACAGGGUGACAGCCCCGUACACAAAAAUGCACAUGCUGUGAGCUCGAUGAGUAGGGCGGGACACGUGGUAUCCUGUCUGAAUAUGGGGGGACCAUCCUCCAAGGCUAAAUACUCCUGACUGACCGAUAGUGAACCAGUACCGUGAGGGAAAGGCGAAAAGAACCCCGGCGAGGGGAGUGAAAAAGAACCUGAAACCGUGUACGUACAAGCAGUGGGAGCACGCUUAGGCGUGUGACUGCGUACCUUUUGUAUAAUGGGUCAGCGACUUAUAUUCUGUAGCAAGGUUAACCGAAUAGGGGAGCCGAAGGGAAACCGAGUCUUAACUGGGCGUUAAGUUGCAGGGUAUAGACCCGAAACCCGGUGAUCUAGCCAUGGGCAGGUUGAAGGUUGGGUAACACUAACUGGAGGACCGAACCGACUAAUGUUGAAAAAUUAGCGGAUGACUUGUGGCUGGGGGUGAAAGGCCAAUCAAACCGGGAGAUAGCUGGUUCUCCCCGAAAGCUAUUUAGGUAGCGCCUCGUGAAUUCAUCUCCGGGGGUAGAGCACUGUUUCGGCAAGGGGGUCAUCCCGACUUACCAACCCGAUGCAAACUGCGAAUACCGGAGAAUGUUAUCACGGGAGACACACGGCGGGUGCUAACGUCCGUCGUGAAGAGGGAAACAACCCAGACCGCCAGCUAAGGUCCCAAAGUCAUGGUUAAGUGGGAAACGAUGUGGGAAGGCCCAGACAGCCAGGAUGUUGGCUUAGAAGCAGCCAUCAUUUAAAGAAAGCGUAAUAGCUCACUGGUCGAGUCGGCCUGCGCGGAAGAUGUAACGGGGCUAAACCAUGCACCGAAGCUGCGGCAGCGACGCUUAUGCGUUGUUGGGUAGGGGAGCGUUCUGUAAGCCUGUGAAGGUGUACUGUGAGGUAUGCUGGAGGUAUCAGAAGUGCGAAUGCUGACAUAAGUAACGAUAAAGCGGGUGAAAAGCCCGCUCGCCGGAAGACCAAGGGUUCCUGUCCAACGUUAAUCGGGGCAGGGUGAGUCGACCCCUAAGGCGAGGCCGAAAGGCGUAGUCGAUGGGAAACAGGUUAAUAUUCCUGUACUUGGUGUUACUGCGAAGGGGGGACGGAGAAGGCUAUGUUGGCCGGGCGACGGUUGUCCCGGUUUAAGCGUGUAGGCUGGUUUUCCAGGCAAAUCCGGAAAAUCAAGGCUGAGGCGUGAUGACGAGGCACUACGGUGCUGAAGCAACAAAUGCCCUGCUUCCAGGAAAAGCCUCUAAGCAUCAGGUAACAUCAAAUCGUACCCCAAACCGACACAGGUGGUCAGGUAGAGAAUACCAAGGCGCUUGAGAGAACUCGGGUGAAGGAACUAGGCAAAAUGGUGCCGUAACUUCGGGAGAAGGCACGCUGAUACGUAGGUGAAGUCCCUCGCGGAUGGAGCUGAAAUCAGUCGAAGAUACCAGCUGGCUGCAACUGUUUAUUAAAAACACAGCACUGUGCAAACACGAAAGUGGACGUAUACGGUGUGACGCCUGCCCGGUGCCGGAAGGUUAAUUGAUGGGGUCAGCGCAAGCGAAGCUCUUGAUCGAAGCCCCGGUAAACGGCGGCCGUAACUAUAACGGUCCUAAGGUAGCGAAAUUCCUUGUCGGGUAAGUUCCGACCUGCACGAAUGGCGUAAUGAUGGCCAGGCUGUCUCCACCCGAGACUCAGUGAAAUUGAACUCGCUGUGAAGAUGCAGUGUACCCGCGGCAAGACGGAAAGACCCCGUGAACCUUUACUAUAGCUUGACACUGAACAUUGAGCCUUGAUGUGUAGGAUAGGUGGGAGGCUUUGAAGUGUGGACGCCAGUCUGCAUGGAGCCGACCUUGAAAUACCACCCUUUAAUGUUUGAUGUUCUAACGUUGACCCGUAAUCCGGGUUGCGGACAGUGUCUGGUGGGUAGUUUGACUGGGGCGGUCUCCUCCUAAAGAGUAACGGAGGAGCACGAAGGUUGGCUAAUCCUGGUCGGACAUCAGGAGGUUAGUGCAAUGGCAUAAGCCAGCUUGACUGCGAGCGUGACGGCGCGAGCAGGUGCGAAAGCAGGUCAUAGUGAUCCGGUGGUUCUGAAUGGAAGGGCCAUCGCUCAACGGAUAAAAGGUACUCCGGGGAUAACAGGCUGAUACCGCCCAAGAGUUCAUAUCGACGGCGGUGUUUGGCACCUCGAUGUCGGCUCAUCACAUCCUGGGGCUGAAGUAGGUCCCAAGGGUAUGGCUGUUCGCCAUUUAAAGUGGUACGCGAGCUGGGUUUAGAACGUCGUGAGACAGUUCGGUCCCUAUCUGCCGUGGGCGCUGGAGAACUGAGGGGGGCUGCUCCUAGUACGAGAGGACCGGAGUGGACGCAUCACUGGUGUUCGGGUUGUCAUGCCAAUGGCACUGCCCGGUAGCUAAAUGCGGAAGAGAUAAGUGCUGAAAGCAUCUAAGCACGAAACUUGCCCCGAGAUGAGUUCUCCCUGACUCCUUGAGAGUCCUGAAGGAACGUUGAAGACGACGACGUUGAUAGGCCGGGUGUGUAAGCGCAGCGAUGCGUUGAGCUAACCGGUACUAAUGAACCGUGAGGCUUAACCUU